UGCCCCAGUAACGUGCGAGUGAAGCGGCAACAGCUCAAAUUUGAAAUCUGGCCCCUAGGGUCCGAGUUGUAAUUUGUAGAGGAUGCUUUUGGUGAGGUGCCGCCCGAGUUCCCUGGAACGGGACGCCGCAGAGGGUGAGAGCCCCGUCUGGCUGGCCACCGAGCCUCUGUAAAGCUCCUUCGACGAGUCGAGUAGUUUGGGAAUGCUGCUCAAAAUGGGAGGUAUAUGUCUUCUAAAGCUAAAUAUUGGCCAGAGACCGAUAGCGCACAAGUAGAGUGAUCGAAAGAUGAAAAGCACCUUGAAAAGAGGGUUAAACAGUACGUGAAAUUGUUGAAAGGGAAGCGCUUGUGACCAGACUUGGGCGCGGCGAAUCAUCCGGGGUUCUCUCCGGUGCACUUCGCCGUGUUCAGGCCAGCAUCAGUUCGGCGCGGGGGAAAAAGGCUUCGGGAACGUGGCUGCUCCGGCAGUGUUAUAGCCCGUUGCAUAAUACCCUGCGCUGGACUGAGGACCGCGCAUCUGCAAGGAUGCUGGCGUAAUGGUCACCAGCGACCCGUCUUGAAACACGGACCAAGGAGUCGUCUUCGUAUGCGAGUGUUCGGGUGUCAAACCCCUACGCGUAAUGAAAGUGAACGCAGGUGAGAGCUUCGGCGCAUCAUCGACCGAUCCUGAUGUUCUCGGAUGGAUUUGAGUAAGAGCAUACGGGGCCGGACCCGAGAGAAGGUGAACUAUGCCUGUAUAGGGUGAAGCCAGAGGAAACUCUGGUGGAGGCUCGCAGCGGUUCUGACGUGCAAAUCGAUCGUCAAAUAUGGGCA
rnacentral:rRNA from 1 species